rnacentral:lncRNA from 1 species
UGAAUGUCUACUCCAUUUUUCCACAUACCACAAAGGUGGAACUUAAGUCCAUGCAUACAUUUAAUUGUGCACUUUGUUUUUCUCCUGCCUUAUACAAAUAAUUGUUAAAAUAUUUCAAAAUUCAGAAAAAUGUAAAGAAGGAAAUAGUCACCUAAGUAUUUGUUAGGUUAUAAUUGAAAAAGUAGGCUUUGUGAAAUGAUUUCAGGUAAUUAGGUAUCGUGUAGUCAGUGAUGUUUUAAAAUCUUGUCCACUUACACGGUUUUGUACUAAUAACAUCUGCUAAUAUUAUGUAAUAACAGUGUGGAGUGUUAGAAUGAAGGCGAAAUGUUUUAAAGAGGUAAGACUGUUUGCUUCAUUUCCUGUCACGUUUUAAACAUUAAGUAUCAAGGUCCAGUU